UACGAAGGGGGCUAGCGUUGCUCGGAUUUACUGGGCGUAAAGGGCGCGUAGGCGGUUCGUACAGUCAGACGUGAAAUUCCUGGGCUCAACCUGGGGGCUGCGUUUGAUACGUGCGGACUUGAGUGCGGAAGAGGGUCGUGGAAUUCCCAGUGUAGAGGUGAAAUUCGUAGAUAUUGGGAAGAACACCGGUGGCGAAGGCGGCCCACUGGAUCGGUACUGACGCUGAGGUGCGAAAGCGUGGGGAGCAAACAGG
rnacentral:rRNA from 1 species